AUCGCUUCUUGGCCUUUUGGCUAAGAUCAAGUGUAGUCAUUCUUGAACUCCACCAGAAUUUUUCCAUACACUAUUUACUUUUAAACUAGAUUUCAGUAAGUAUAAACCACAAAUAUUUGCAUUACAAACACAGAAAACAUAAUCAGUGAAAUAGUGAGCAUUUGCUAUCAAGUUGUUGCUUAA